rnacentral:rRNA from 1 species
UACAGAGGGUGCGAGCGUUAAUCGGAAUUACUGGGCGUAAAGCGUGCGUAGACGGUUAUUUAAGUCGGAUGUGAAAGCCCCGGGCUCAACCUGGGAAUUGCAUUCGAGACUGAAUAGCUAGGGUGCGGUAGAGGGAAGCGGAAUUUCCGGCGUAGCGGUGAAAUGCGUAGAUAUCGGAAGGAACAUCAGUGGCGAAAGCGGCUUCCUGGACCAGCACCGACGUUCAGGCACGAAAGCGUGGGGAGCAAACAGG